rnacentral:misc_RNA from 1 species
GAUGAAGAACGCAGCGAAAUGCGAUAAGUAAUGUGAAUUGCAGAAUUCAGUGAAUCAUCGAGUCUUUGAACGCACAUUGCGCCCCCUGGUAUUCCGGGGGGCAUGCCUGUCCGAGCGUCAUUGCUGCCCUCAAGCACGGCUUGUGUGUUGGGCCCCCGUCCCCGGUUUCCCCCGGGGACGGGCCCGAAAGGCAGCGGCGGCACCGCGUCCGGUCCUCGAGCGUAUGGGGCUUUGUCACCCGCUCUGUAGGCCCGGCCGGCGCCAGCCGACACCCAACUUUAUUUCUAAGGUUGACCUCGGAUCAGGUAGGGAUACCCGCUGAACUUAAGCAUAUCAAUAAUCGGAGGA